CACGAACAGUCCGGUGCCGAAAUCGACCAAAUUAAUUGGCGAACUUUCAGUCGGCAGCGAAAGAGAGAAGCUUAAUGUGCAGAUAUGAAGAUGAUUGAGCAAUGAACCUUUUCCAAUAUUCUACACCUACGUUAGCCAGUCGCGACUCACCUUGAGAACACUUUAGCAAACACUGAAGAAUGCUGUGCGUCCGCGGUGUGCGGGUGACUAGGAAACUUGUCAUCUUCUUUUUCCCCACUCAAGGUCUCCAUCCAGGA